ensembl:snoRNA
GCAGAAUUGCUUUUGAAAGCUAUUCAGUGUGCAUAUUAAUGAUGACCUACCAUUUUUCUGUCUGCCAGAGAAACAUUCCAGUGUACUGUGGCUGCCUUGACCUGCUGGGGAGUUGUACCUACCCAGGGACACAGAA